ensembl:lncRNA
CACUGAUCUCCAGCCCUUGGAACCCAUGCACUUGCUGUUCUGCACUUUUCUCCCCACUUUUCUCUCUCUUCUCCUCGCCGCUCCUUCUCCUUUUCCCUUUCUUUUCCUCGUUCCCCGUCUCUUUCUCUCUCUCCUCUCCUCAAUCCCAACUCUGCACAGGCACCCCAUCUCCUCCAGGUACACCCAGCCAAGAGGGAGCAGUACCAACAUCUGUUCCCAUCUUUAUUUAAUAUGAGCAUAUUUUCUUUACAUCCUUGACCAUAAUUAUAACAACUGCUUUAAAUUCCUAGUCUGCUAAUUCCAACUUGCAGCUCUCCAUUGUCUUUUCUCUUGCGAAUUGGUCACGUUUUCCUGUUCUUCAUAUGUUGAAUAGUAUUUUUUUUAAUUGUACCCUGGCCAUUGUGAGUGUAAUAUUGUGGAGGCGCUGGACUUUAUUAUAUUCUUAUGGAGAGUGUUUAUUUUUUGUUUUAGCUAGUAGUUCACUUGGUUGGACUCAAACUGCAAACGCUGUUUCUGGGGCAGCAACGCAAAUCUCACUGAGUUCUUUUACCCCUGCUGCGUGAAUCCACGGGUCAGCAGUCGCCAGAGGUUUGACAGAGUUUAUGCAUAAAUUCAGGGCUCCUCAUCCUGGGCUCUCUUUUCUAGGGUAACUCUUUCCCUUUCCAGUAUCUAAGGUUUUCCUGAGCUUUAUCCUUUGGUUCUUUAAGCCGGAAGAACUCUGGGUUUUCUAUAGGAGCUUUGGUCACCCACAUGGUGCUCACGGCUCAGUGUCUGCUCCAGAUGACUUUGAACUGUCUUCAAGCUGAAAGCCAUAAAAACGGGAAACAGGCUAUGCUCCGUCCCUCCUCCCAAACGUCAACUCCCUUCUAGGAUCUGCCUGCUUUUGUUCACUCUCCAGUGCCUUUAGAUGGUUGUAUUUUUAAUUUUGUCCAGAGCUAAUAGCUAUUAUCACUGGGAGGUUUAGUCCAAUAGGAGUCACUUGGCCAUAUCAAAAGUAGAACUCCUUCUAUUUUUCUAUUUCACCAUUUUUAGAGUGUGGCCUUCUUUCACAAGAUUGUCUCCUGGUGGCAAGAUGACUACUGCAGCUCAAGCCAUCAUGUUAACAUUCCAGGCUGGAAAAAGGAUGAAAGGAAGGGCAACGUGUGCUUUCUGGCUGCAUCAGCCGCCUUUUAAAGGGUUUUCUCAUAAUUCUCCCCUAACGACUUCUACCUACAUCCCGUUGGACAGAGUUUAAUUGCAAAGUCAUGAAUGAAAUGCAGUUAUUAAGCUGGGCCCAUUGCUAUUCUCAACAGAAUUAGAGUUAAGAUCGUAAGACAGGAGAGAGAAUGGCUUUCAGGAAGGCAGCUAGAAGCUAUCGCAUUUCACAGGGGUAUUAUGAAGAUUAAAAUGUUAAUGCAUGUGAACUGCCUAGUACCACUCCUGGACCACAGGAAGUGCUACAUAAAUGCUGGUUUCAGUAUUGUUUCACAAUAGAUAUAAGCCCAAGGCAUGAUGGAGAUCUUGAAGAGAGACACCUAGCCCAACUAGGGAUGGAGGGGCGACAGGGAAGACUUCCUGGAGGCAGUGACAUCUGAGCCAAAUCUGAAAGACAGAUGAAUGUUAACAUGGUAAGAGAGAAAAGGAGUCCCAGGCAGGAGGAACAGCACUGAGUGAAGGUUUGGCAGUAGGAAACAGCCUGGGGUGUGUAGGCAUGUACUAAUCGUCCGUAGAAAGUACAGAAGGGCAAGUGAAGAGGCAUGAGAGGCGGUUAGGACCAGGACAUGCAGAGGAGCUGAUUCAUCUCCAGUGUCCAAAAAGUGCCCAGCACACAGUGGGAGACAAUUUUAUAUGCGGUCAGGUAGCAGUCAAGUUGGAGUGCACUCGCGUGCAUGCGCACAAACACACACACACACACAUACACAUGCCUGAGAUUUACUAACCCUGCAGGCCUCCUGUGGGAGAGAAGCCUGGUGGGAAGAGAGCCCCAUGGCCCAAGCCCUUGCAGAACUUCCCCUCUGUGGGAGUUCAGGGCAGAGGUGCAAGGCUGUGGGCUGGGUGGUCACUGUGGCCCCCUGAGAGACCUGUACCCCUCAGCCCCCGUAACUCUUCCCAGAGAUAGGAGCUUUCCAAAAAAUGCUUGACACUUUUGGUCAAACAGGAAGACAAGAGCUGAUAGUGUGGGAAGGAGGCAUGGGGUGGGAGACUCGCUGCCUGGGCCUUUUCCAGCUCUCUCUCCCCACCCUCAUGCCAGCCCAGGCCUGGUCCCAAACGCCCAGAUCCCCUGGGUGUGAGCGUGGAGGAGUGUGAGCACCUAUGCACCAGAUGUGCCUGGGUGUGUGGCUUUCCCGUCUUCUUCUGCCCCUCCACUUGCAGACGACGCAUCCCCGUAGCGUCAGCCGGGGACCGUCCCUCCCUCCUUCCCUCCCCCUCUCUCUGCUGGAAGCUCCUCCUGGCUCCUAAUGUCUCCUGACCCCUCUCUGUGGGACUUUGCUCAAUUCCGCUCAGUUCAGUUCACAAUUAUUGCCUCCUGUCCUGGGCCUGGAAGAGCUCAGCCUGGGAUGUGUGCUGUGUGCAGGGUGUGUGUGUGUGCGUGUGUGUGUGUGUGUGUGAUUUGAUGUUAGAACAUAACAGAUCUAUCUUGUCUUCACUUUUACUGUGGAGAAAUAUUCUGUGUUAUGGCUGAACUGUAGUUUUGGUCAUUCUUUUCUUAAUGGGUAUUUAGGUCAUUCCUGGGGCUUCGAUCUGCACAUAGCAUGUCCCGACGUGCCCCCUUCGCACCUGCACCCGGGCGGUGGCUCCAAGGGCCGGGCAGUGAGAGGGGAUUACCAGGAAGCCAAAGGCAGGCUGCCCUCCGGAGCAACUGCACCAGUUCACACUCGCGUGAGCUGUGACUAUCACAACCCGUUUCCCCAUAUUCUCGUCAACGCUUGACCUUGUCGUGCAUUUAAAACGUUAUCUGUAGAAUUAUGUCCUUAUUUGCUUGCCCCCUGCACUCAGAGUCCCCUGGAGGAGACUCAGCUCCUCAAGGUCAGGGACUAUUCAUGUCUUGUUUAACUUUGAUUAAGAUGUUUUUAAAAUUCUGUUUUCUUCCU